UAACGCGUGGAUAACCUGCCGUAUACCGGGGGAUAACACUUGGAAAUAGGUGCUAAUACCGCAUAAGCGCACGGCUCCGCAUGGGGCAGUGUGAAAAACUCCGGUGGUAUACGAUGGAUCCGCGUCUGAUUAGCUAGUUGGCGGGGUAACGGCCCACCAAGGCAGCGAUCAGUAGCCGGCCUGAGAGGGUGGACGGCCACAUUGGGACUGAGACACGGCCCAAACUCCUACGGGAGGCAGCAGUGGGGAAUAUUGCACAAUGGGGGAAACCCUGAUGCAGCGACGCCGCGUGAGCGAUGAAGUAUUUCGGUAUGUAAAGCUCUAUCAGCAGGGAAGAAAAUGACGGUACCUGACUAAGAAGCCCCGGCUAACUACGUGCCAGCAGCCGCGGUAAUACGUAGGGGGCAAGCGUUAUCCGGAUUUACUGGGUGUAAAGGGAGCGUAGACGGCGGUGCAAGCCAGAUGUGAAAGCCCGGGGCUCAACCCCGGGACUGCAUUUGGAACUGUGCUGCUAGAGUGUCGGAGAGGCAGGCGGAAUUCCUAGUGUAGCGGUGAAAUGCGUAGAUAUUAGGAGGAACACCAGUGGCGAAGGCGGCCUGCUGGACGAUGACUGACGUUGAGGCUCGAAAGCGUGGGGAGCAAACAGGAUUAGAUACCCUGGUAGU
rnacentral:rRNA from 1 species